rnacentral:rRNA from 1 species
UACGGAGGGUGCAAACGUUGCUCGGAAUCAUUGGGCGUAAAGCGCGCGUAGGCGGACUGUUAAGUCGGAUGUGAAAUCCCUCAGCUUAACUGAGGAAGUGCACUCGAAACUGGCAGUCUUGAGUAUGGAAGAGGGUCGCGGAAUUCCCGGUGUAGAGGUGAAAUUCGUAGAUAUCGGGAGGAACACCAGUGGCGAAGGCGGCGACCUGGGCCAAUACUGGACGCUGAGG